rnacentral:lncRNA from 1 species
UAGCUCCCGCGUCGCUGUCCUUUUUGCAAGGGAAUGGUCCGGCCACUUUGGGUCUUUUGUGUGCAGCCUUUCCCUGCAUUUCUGCAAGAGACUGUUUCCAGGACUCAACCCAAGGCAACAACUUUACCGUAACAAGAAAACAUUACUGCAAUAACAUUAAUGUUACCGUAACCAGGACUCAACCCAAGCCAAGGCUCCCCUUCUGUGACAAGAAAACAUUACUGCAAUAACAUUAAUAAUAAGGAUGCAGUAGUACGGAGUAUGUUUUAUUCGUUUAGGUCUUACUCCCACCAGUUUAUUUACAUAUAUCUUCAUUAUGAAAUGUACUGCAGACAUAAAAAAAUCAAAUAUUCAGGAAGCA